ACGUACACUCCUGCGGGAGGCAGCAGUGGGGAAUUUUGGACAAUGGGCGAAAGCCUGAUCCAGCCAUGCCGCGUGCAGGAUGAAGGCCUUCGGGUUGUAAACUGCUUUUGUACGGAACGAAACGGCCUUUUCUAAUAAAGAGGGCUAAUGACGGUACCGUAAGAAUAAGCACCGGCUAACUACGUGCCAGGAGCCGCGGUAAUACGGAGGGUGCAAGCGUUAAUCGGAAUUACUGGGCGUAAAGCGUGCGCAGGCGGUUAUGUAAGGCAGUUGUGAAAUCCCCGGGCUCAACCUGGGAACUGCAUCUGUGACUGCAUAGCUAGAGUACGGUAGAGGGGGAUGGAAUUCCGCGUGUAGCAGUGAAAUGCGUAGAUAUGCGGAGGAACACCGAUGGCGAAGGCAAUCCCCUGGACCUGUACUGACGCUCAUGCACGAAAGCGUGGGGAGCAAACAGGAUUAGAAACCCGAGUAGUCCCAUG
rnacentral:rRNA from 1 species